rnacentral:rRNA from 1 species
UCCAGAGGUCCCAAGCGUUGUUCGGAUUCACUGGGCGUAAAGGGUGCGUAGGCGGUCGGGUAAGUCUGACGUGAAAUCUUCAAGCUCAACUUGGAAACUGCGUCCGAUACUAUUCGGCUAGAGGAAUGGAGGGGAGACUGGAAUACUUGGUGUAGCAGUGAAAUGCGCAGAUAUCAGGAAGAACACCCGUGGCGAAGGCGGCUCUCUGGGACGGUACUGACGCUGAGACGCGAAAGCGUGGGGAGCGAACAGG